AGCGAACGCUGGCGGCAGGCCUAACACAUGCAAGUCGAACGGACCCUUCGGGGUUAGUGGCGGACGGGUGAGUAACACGUGGGAACGUGCCUUUAGGUUCGGAAUAGCUCCUGGAAACGGGUGGUAAUGCCGCAUGUGCCCUUCGGGGGAAAGAUUUAUCGCCUUUAGAGCGGCCCGCGUCUGAUUAGCUAGUUGGUGAGGUAAUGGCUCACCAAGGCGACGAUCAGUAGCUGGUCUGAGAGGAUGACCAGCCACACUGGGACUGAGACACGGCCCAGACUCCUACGGGAGGCAGCAGUGGGGAAUCUUGCGCAAUGGGCGAAAGCCUGACGCAGCAUGCCGCGUGAAUGAUGAAGGUCUUAGGAUUGUAAAAUUCUUUCACCGGGGACGAUAAUGACGGUACCCGGAGAAGAAGCCCCGGCUAACUUCGUGCCAGCCGCCGCGGUAA
rnacentral:rRNA from 1 species